CAUAAGUUGAGGCUUCUGGAAGUUCGGGUCUGCAUUCACGGUGACAGGAGCCCCGGUCUCCUCAGAACCCUCAGUGAUGUUUGGGAGGACGUUGGGUGACAUCUACACAACAGGAUGCUGACUUCUUUAGGACCCCCGGUGUUGACUUGGGGAAAUAAAGAUACGUCCAUGCUGACAGAAGACCCCAUCCUUGUCAGGGCCUGUGGUGAGGCCGCAGAAAAAUGUGGGUGGCCAAUCCACACUGACAGGAGUCUCCAGCCUCCUCAGGACCCACUGUGAAGUUUUUGGAAGAUUUGGGGCCACAUCUAUGCUGACAGGAGUCUCCAGCCUCCUCAGGACCCACUGUGAAGUUUUUGGAAGAUUUGGGGCCACAUCUAUGCUGACAGGAGCCCCCAGCCUCCUCAGGUCUUAAAUGGUGAGGCUGAGGAAAAUGUGGGACCACGUCAAUCCUGACAGGACCUGGGCUUUGGCUUCUGGAAAUAUGGGGCUGCGUCUAUGCUGACAGUUGCCCACAGCCUCCUCAGGAUGCGCCGUGAGUUUUCUGGGGGAUGUGGGGCCAUGUCCAGGCUGACAGGAGCCCCCGGCCACCUGAGGACCUGCUUGAGGCUUCCAGAGGAUGUGAGGCAUAGUCCACAGUGACAGGAGACCCAGCGUCCUCAGGGCCCGCUGACUAUGACUCAGGAACACAUGGGGCCACGUCCACACUCACAGGAGCCUGGCUUCCUCAGGACCCCCUGGAGGACUCUGGAGGCGCCGUUGGGGGCCACGUCCACAUCAGAAUGGACUACUCAGAACCACAGGGAGCCAGCCUUUCCUGGGGAGGCCUGAGGAAGACGUGGGGACACAUCCACGCUGAUGAGCCACAGCCUCUUCAGAACCUGCGUGGAGCCUUCAGGGGGAUAUUGGGCAACGUUCACACUGACAGGAGCCCUGGUCUCCUCAGAAUACACAGUGAGGCUUCAGGAAAUUGUUGGCCCUCACCCACCCUGACAGGAGCCCCUGGGCUGCUGCAGGCCCCGCGGGGAGGCUUUAGUAAGAUGUGGGCCCGCAUCCACGUUGACAGGAGCCCCUGGGCCGCCUCAGAACAUGUGGGGAGGCUUCUGAAAAAUGUGGCGCAGCGUCCACUCUGGCAGGAGCUAACGGGCCCCUCAGGACAUAAGUUGAGUCUUCUGGAAGCUGGGGGCUGCAUCCACAGUGACCGGAGCCCGGCCACCUCAGAACAAGCGGUGACGCUUCGGGAGGAUGUGGGGCCACGUCCACACAACUGGACGCUGAUGUCCUCAGGACCCCUGGUGUAG
rnacentral:lncRNA from 12 species